UGACUGCUCUCAGCGACGGAGCCAGGGGCUGAGGGCACAGCCAGCGGGCGGCGCGCCGCGGACUCCCAGGCAGCCCGCGGAAAGGGUUCUGAAUGUCACCAUAAAGAGACUGUCACCCAUCCUUCUCAUCUAGAGACCUGUUCUUGGGACCUACGGACAGGAGGUGAAGGAGAGCA